CAGAGGGGGCGGGGCCGGGCCGCCGAGCCGAGCGGCUGCUGUCCAUGCCGGCUCCGGUUAUAAACCGCAUAAACCGCAUAAAAUGCCGGGGAAAAAACCCCAAAACAUACCCACGAUAUGAGCACCGCAACCGGAGGCAAGAUCAGGGGGAGAGGAACCGAGGAGAAAGGAGCGGAGACACAUGCCGAGUAAACACGACGAACCCAGAGAUCUGAGACAUGCUGCAUGAAUGCGGUUCACAGCGCACACGGACGGCACAGGAGACAUGGAUCGGCCCCGCUCCCCCCCCACCCGGCCGGGGGGGUGAUCCCGGCCCAAAAGUCAGAACUUUCAAAGCUGGAGGUGGAAGCGUGCUCGGAGCGAGAUGCCUUCUUGUACAGAGCUAAAAUGGCUGACUGGCACAACACAUACACGCAGCAGAGAUCCGCGCUGGAGCGCCGCGGCCCCUGGGGUGGCUGAGCCCACAGCUGGGCCCUUCCGGGCUGUGGACUGGUCGACAAGGAGCCGGCCCUGAUUCCUGGAUUUGGUGGUGGUCCGGGGAAAUAUGCCCCCAAUUCCGCGAGCCCGGUGGAGCUGAGAUGCGCGUGCCUGCCGGCGGACCGGUGGCCGGGGGGCGCGUGCCGGCGUCAUGUAAGUGGCCGGAGAUGGGAGAGGCAAGACAGGGCUAGAGCUCCAGGGAGGCCCUACUGAGGCUGGGGAGGUGCAGGAGACUGAGACCACGCGGACUCUACGGGGGGGAGACCGCCGAAUGGCUCCGAUCUCUGAGUGCCCACGGCGAGGUGGAACUCCCUAAAAGACACCGAAGCAUGCCUUGAUGGGGUGCAGGGGGGGCUCGGCCACAGCUGGGGGAACCGGGAAGACCCAGGUGGACACAGUUAACUCGCCAUGUACAUGCUUGCCCUGCAGCAACCAUGAUGAGGACACACCAGAGAGAAGCCUGCAGAAAUACAACCAUGGGAGAUGACGAGUCCACAAAGGACCAUAUCGCCACACCGAGCGCCAUUACGCCCCCUCCAGAGAAGUGACUCAAGCUCUAAAUCUUAUAUGGGUUUUGCGGGAGUUAGACAUACUACUGUUUCUCUCUGCAAUGAGCCAUGAACAUCAUACAGAAUUUGCUUACUGUUAUACCCUAACUCAUUUAUUACCUAAUAUAUUGUAAUAGGCGUGGACACGCUGUUUAUGCUGCAGCACAUAUACGUUAGUUUGCUAUGGUACACAGGUUUAGGCCUACCUCGACGCAGUUGAAUUGCACCCAUCAGUGGAUAACUAAACUGAAGCACCCAAGAUAUGGCGGUAUACCUUCGUAACCAUAUUAGCUUAUCAAGGAACAGCGGCAUAUCGUAUCUACAUACACGAUUAAUCCAGCUGCACACUUUAUUUUCUGACCAGAUAGGCAUAACUUAAAUAAGUGGUAAUAUGCAAAGAUUGCAGCUGACCAACAGGUUCAGGUCUAGUUAGACACGGUCAAACUGCACCCACCUAAGAUUUAUUAAACCGAUCCACGCUGUCUGAUCAUCACAUCACACUAGCGGUAUCUGCCUCAUACAGCUACGUGUGAUCAUGCUCAGCCACCGCUGGAGCGAAAUAGGUCCAUACGACCCACAAACCGCUGUUAUAAAGGACAUGACCAAGAAGCUUAACAUUUAAGCGUAGACAGCAUGGUGCGCAGUAUUAGCUCAGUGCCUGCAAUUUAUGCUGUAAUGAUUCGAAGUGUAUUCCUGAAAAGUUCAAAUACGCCUGUGGGUUCUGAUCAAUAUGCCUCUGCGCAGGCGAUAAUCUGCAUUUAUUCCUAUGUGCUAACAUUUAAGCCCCUACGCAGGCGACCUUUCACCUUAACGAAUGCUAUAAAUUACUGUUUAAGCCCCUGCGUGGGCAACCUUUUGCUUUACUAUGAACCAGUUCGCAUUAUGCACUUAUAUUGUGAAAACAAUAAAAAUAUUCAAAACAAAAAUCU
rnacentral:lncRNA from 1 species